UACGUAGGGAGCAAGCGUUGUCCGGAAUCAUUGGGCGUAAAGCGCGCGUAGGUGGCCCUGUAAGUCCGUUGUGAAAGUCAAAGGCUCAACCUUUGAAAGCCGAUGGAUACUGCAGGGCUAGAGUCCGGAAGAGGCGAGUGGAAUUCCUGGUGUAGCGGUGGAAUGCGCAGAUAUCGGGAAGAACACCUAUGGCGAAGGCAGCUCUCUGGGACGGUACUGACGCUGAGACGCGAAAGCGUGGGGAGCGAACAGG
rnacentral:rRNA from 1 species